rnacentral:rRNA from 1 species
UACGGAGGGUGCGAGCGUUAUCCGGAAUCAUUGGGCGUAAAGGGCGCGUAGGUGGCGGGACAAGCGUGCGGUGAAAGCUCGGGGCUCAACCCCGCGUCGGCCGUGCGAACUGUUUUGCUUGAGCACUGUAGAGGCAGGCGGAAUUCCGGGUGUAGCGGUGGAAUACGUAGAGAUCCGGAAGAACACCGGUGGCGAAGGCGGCCUGCUGGGCAGUAGCUGACACUGAGGCGCGACAGCGGUGGGGAGCAAACAGG